GAAGGUGCGGUGCUGGGGGGGACCAGAUUCUACCAGCCAGCCCUUCCUGACAGCUGCUGCUGCAGUGGCCAGGAGCACCAGGUGCUUGUAAAUCACCGUAGCCCAGAGCCCCUUUCACUCCCCCACUGUAGGCAGCCCUGCCAGGAGCGUUCAACAGCAUUGCCGGACCCUGUGGCUGGGCCGCUGAUGCGGGGGCGAUGGGAUAAAGGGGGCAGCACCGUUAAAGCAUAAAGCACUGCCACAGCGGAAGUGUAAUGUCAGCCAUGUACGGGAAGGAACCAGUGGCCAGUUCUUACCGGUACACUGGACUGGCCCACUUUCACCUCUGGUACUUAUGUGUAUUCUAAAUAUCUGUGUCAGUAGUUUGCAGAAACGUAUUUGCAGCACAAAGACUUCAGUGCGGUAGAAACAACACAAGAGGCUAAUACUGCAUUUAGAAGACAUAUAGCAAUUCUUCUAAUGAAGGAGUCAGAAAGCGUGGAGGACUACUGCAUAUACUGCAACUGUAUCAACUGUGAAAAAGAAAAUGAGGAUUGCACGAUGGUCCAGUGUGAUUCUUGCAAGAGGUGGGCACAUAUACCCUGCAUUGCAGAAGGAACCAAUCAAGAAAACCUGACAGAUGAGAAGAAAGAGUACAACUGCAAGAAAUGUGCAUAGUUCACUUCAUUACCCCCCAAAAAAACCCCAUAG